rnacentral:rRNA from 1 species
CCCUUAGAUGUUCUGGGCCGCACGCGUGCUACACUGAUGCAUUCAACGAGUCUAAAACCUGGUCUGAUAGGGCUGGGUAAUCUUUUGAAAGUGCAUCGUGAUUGGGAUAGAUGAUUGCAAUUCUUCAUCUUCAACGAGGAAUGCCUAGUAAACGCAAGUCAUCAGCUUGCAUUGAUUACGUCCCUGCCCUUUGUACACACCGCCCGUCGCUCCUACCGAUUGAAUGAUCCGAUGAAUACCAUGGAUUGAGAGUACGAAUAGGUUCGCUUAUUUCUGCUGCUCGAGAAGUGGAGUAAAUCUUAUCAUUUAGAGGAAGGUGAAGUCGUAACA